UUGCCGUCUGGUUGGGAGGUUUGGUGAGGAUACACGACGUGCAAGCUCGUACUGCUGGGGGGGGGCGGGUCGCUGAUGGCUGGCUCUGCACUCUGGCCGUGUGACAUGAGAGGUAGUGUCACCUGCUCUUCUUGUUCACACUUCAGCUUCUGACACGGCUUCUGAAGAGCAACCUCCCUGAGGACCUGCGGGCCGCCAACGAGCUGAUCCAGACGCUGGUCAAGGAGGAGCAGGAGAGAUCAGAAAAGGUGUCCAGGAGGGUGAGUGCCGUGGAGGAGGUCCGCAGCCACGUGAAGGUGCUACGGGAGAUGCUGGGCGUGUACCGCAGACCAGGGCAGGCGCCCCCGGACCAGCAGGCCCUGCAGGUUUUCUCCUGCUCUUCCGCCCGUGUCCCCACCUACGAUCUGCUUUCUGGCCUGAUGAGGUUGCUGUCCUAGACUUCUGUAUAAAGGCAGCGAUGCAGCGUGUGCCCUUGUCGGGAGUGUGUGUGUGUCUGGUUUCUCCCCCUUGGCAUAAUGGAGUCCACUCUUGUACGUAUUCACAGCUUACUCCUGCUUCGUGCCUGGUGGCAUUCCGCUGUCUGUGCACCUCGUGUGCGCCCACUCACCUGUUGGUGGGCACCGGGGUCACACCCCACUUGGGCGAUUAUGAAUCGGGUGCUACAAACAGUUGUCUGCAGGGUUCCGUGUGAACGUGCAGCAGCUUUUCUCUAAAUGGUGAGGUCACAGGCCGAGUGUCCACGUAACAUAAAGCAGCUGCCUGGCAGCUGGCCCAGGUGGCUGCCAUGUUGUGUCCUGACGGCGUGUGAGGGUUUCAGUUCCCCAUACCUUACACUUCCAGAGAUCUUUUCUUUAAAAAUCACCUUUAUGGAGAAGUCACAUAAAACAUAAGCAGCCAACACCACUAUCUGGCUAGAAGGGUUUAAUCACCCCUAAAAAGAAAACGCUGUUCCCGUGAGCGGUCACUCCCCCCCUACCCCCUUCCCCCAGCUCUGGGAGCCCACUGACUGGUCUGUUUCUGUAUCUGUGGUUCGCCUGUUGGGACAUUUCAUGUUUCAUGUCAGUGGACUCAACAGCACGUGGUCUCUGAGUCUGGCUUCAGUCAGCAGCGUGGUGUUGAAGCGUGUCCAUGUCGUGGCGUGUCAUUUCUGCCUUCCUUUCUGUAGCUGAUGUCCCCCGUGUGCUGGCACGGCUUCCGUUAUCCCUUCUCAGCUGGGCCGGGCAUGUGUUCACCUGUUGGCUAUUAUGGAGAAUGCUCUGAACAUCCGUGUCCUCGUCGUGUGAAUGCUUUGAAUUCCCCUGGGUGGUACCGUGGCGUGGACUUGCUGUCACAGCUGCCAGACUGUUGACUGAGUCCUCACCCCGAUGGGCAGCCCACCAGCAGUGUGUGAGGUCCUAGGUUUUCACAUCCUGCCGACACUCGUUUGUCUUGGUAACGGCCAUCCUGGUGGGUGUGCAGCCCGCGCCUCACUGUGGCUUUGGUUUGUGCUUCUCCGAUGGCUUAACUUGAGUUUUCUUGUGUCCACAUGCAUAUCGUCUCUGGAGAAAUGUUUGUUUAAAUUCUGUGCCCAUUUUUUAUAUUGGGUUGUCUCUCUGGUUUUUUUUUUUUACCAGAGUUCUUUGUGUAUCCUGGAUACACACCCCUAAUCAGACCAUAUUUUCUCUCCCAUUCUGUGGGUUCUUUGCACUGUCUUUACAGCGUUUUGAA